UAGGCGUCAGAUGCAAACAUAAAAAACUAUAAAUAUAUAGAUCAUACUAGUCUCUCAUUCUACAGGUAUGUCGAGCCCACUCAAUGGAGUCUGGGCACUUAAUUACGUAGUAGCCCUCAUUUUUAUGCCAACUAUCAGCCAUUUCUAUUCACAUUUUCCAUGCAAGAAUGGAUAUUUUGGUGAGUAAAUGAAAGGUACAAAGAAAUAAAACACUUAUCAGCCAUUUCUUUUGGGAAAGAAUAUAAUAAAAACGAGCAUUGGUGCUAGCUAGUAUAUAUAACGUGUUUUCCAACACGAACAGCAUGCAACAAGGGCCGGAAGAUGAAUUUAGCGUAGAGGGACACUACACCACAACACCAGAUUUGGCGUUGGAUGAUCUGACGCCGAAAGCCGCUACAACGGUGUGCGGUCUGACGCUAAAAACAUAUAGCGUCAGACUUCUGCAGACGUGCUAAAAACAUAUAACGUCAGACCAGAGUUUUAGCGUCAGAUAGCCCGUUGUUGUGAGAAUUUUUAGCAUCAGAUAGUCUCAUGGCAGUGUUUAGCGCCAGACACUCCUUGGCACAAUUUAUAUAUAGCGUCAGAUCAUCCAAUGAUCAACAUAUAUAUAGCGUCAGAUUGUUCAAUGGCACAAUUUAAAUAUCAAAAAAAUAAAAAUUGAAAAUAUUUAGCACAUCAAACCCACAUUCAAGCUCAAUGUCCAUCACACACAAAGAUAUAAGGUCACACAUGACAUGGAGGUCGAUACAUAUAUAUUAUACCAUACAAUCUUGUCUUGCAUAUUACAUCACACUACAUCGGGCCCUAAACCCUAAACCCUAAACCCUAAACCCAUUGAGGCUCGUGUCAAACCACUUAUGGAGAGUCUUCAACAUCAACAUCUAGAGGUUAAAACACAACACCGUCAAAUGCUUCAGACAACCCUCAAACAUGGGAUCAAUCGCCGCCUGCUUUAUCUCUUUGAAAUUCUCCAACUACUUCGUAUUCCCAAACAAAACGUCAUCUUGAUCAAUAUAGUUAUCAACAUUUUCAAAAAUCUCCGCAUCUCUGGGCCCCAAGACUACAACACCCUGCUCAUCAUCCCCACCACCAUCGUUGUCAGCUGCCAUGUCUCCGAUCAGAUCGUGGAGGCUGAUGUAAUCACAAUUCACACUGUUGCCAUCCACCGCUGCUGUUGAUGAUGAGGGUUGUUGUCCUCCGUCAUUCACCGUCGAUGAGUUACCUCCGCUAGAUACACUGGUUGCACUCGGAUCUGCUUCUUUGUCGUGAUACUUCUAGACAGUGUAAUCCUUGAUGAAGCCAUGCCGGAUCAAGUCAGAUUGCACCAUGUUAUCUUCCUAGAGAAGCUUGUUCUUGUAUCUAUUGCACAGACAAAUGAUGCGCUCCCGACCUAGACACACAUAUGCUUUUUUGCUGCGGCAGCAAACUUUCUCACAUGUCCCAGAAAAGCCAAAUCAUUGCUGACCCUCGGUAUCUUAUACAUCCACUCUUUCAUGUCCAUGAUGACCGCGAUGACCUUGCACACACAUAAGGAGAAUAACAAAUGAAGUCAUAUGAAAAGAGCAGAAAGAAUAAGAAAAAUCAUCUCAGUAGCUCUAGGUCUAGUUUUCUAUAUUCUCCAUUUGGAUCUAGGUCUAGCUCAAAACCACCUAAGUCAUGCAAAAGAGAGAACAUGAUAGUUGGAGAGUAAGAAAUCCUCCUCUUGUGGUGCCCUCCUUCACCAAAUGCAAGGGCAAAACCUUCGCCCCUCUAAAAUGACCAAUUUUAGGGUUUUGAGCUUAUCAAAACCCUAAAGAAUGGGGAGCC
rnacentral:lncRNA from 1 species